AUCGGAGGGAAGCUGGUGCCAGCAGCCGCGGUAAUUCCAGCUCCAAUAGCGUAUAUAAAGUUCUUGCGGUAAAAAGCUCGUAUUGGUUCCUGUGCCUGCUUGUCGGUUCUCGCCUGCCGAUCGUAACCACACGUCAUGGGACGUCCUGUCGGUGGUAUUAAAGGCCUACCUCUUAGAAAAGGCCUCGCCUCCAAUAACAAUAGGUCACUUCAAUCGCCGAUUAAUACCCGCCGCGGUGCUCUUACUGAGUGUCGAGGCGGGCCGACACGUUACUUUGAACAAAUCAAAGCGCUUAAAGCAGGCAAAAGUCUGCCUGAAUAGUGGUGCAUGGAAUAAUAAAAUAAGACCUCGGUCUAUUUUGUCGGUUUUCUGAAUUUAAGGUAAUGAUCAAUAUGGACAGUCGGGGGCAUCCGUAUUGCGACGUUAGAGGUGAAAUUUUUUGAUCGUCGCAAGACGAACUAGAGCGAAAGCAUUUUGCCAAGUAUGUUUUAAUUGAUCAAGAACGAAAGUUAGAGGUGCGAAGGCGAUCAGAUACCGCCCUAGUUCUAACCAUAAACGAUGUCAACUAGCGAUCCGUCGAUUGUUUUUUUCAUGACUCGACGGCAGCUUUCCGGGAAACCAAAGCUUUUGGGUUCCGGGGGAAGUAUGGUUGCAAAGCUGAAACUUAAAGGAUUUGACGGAAGGGCACCACCAGGAUGGAGCCUGCGGUUCAUUUUGACUCACACGGGAAACCUCACCAGCCCAGACAUUG
rnacentral:rRNA from 1 species